rnacentral:rRNA from 1 species
UCGAAGGUAGCAUAAUCAGUAGUCUUUUAAUUGAAGGCUGGUAUGAAUGGUUGGACAAAUAUUAACUGUUUCAUAAAUAUUUUUGUUAAAAUUUUAUUUUUUAGUCAAAAAGCUAAAAUUAAUUUAAAAGACAAGAAGACCCUAUAAAUCUUUAUAAUUUAAUUAUUAAAAAUUUAUAGAAUUAUUUUAUUAUAAUAAUAAGUAUUAUUUUAUUGGGGUGAUAUUAAAAUUUAAUUAACUUUUAAUUUAAUAUUUCAUUAAUUUAUGAAUGAUUGAUCCAUUAUUAAUGAUUAAUAAAAUAAGUUACUUUAGGGAUAACAGCGUAAUUUUUUUGGAGAGUUCAUAUCAAUAAAAAAGAUUGCGACCUCGAUGUUGGAUUAA